CAAAAAUAAGCAAUAUAUUUAUCAUACAAUUUUGUUAGUAAUCAUAACAAAAGAAGACUAUAUUUUAGGUAUUAAAAUAUUAUUGAAAUUGGUCUUGAAAGUUGUUUUUUUUAUCUGUAAGCACUAAGUAAGGUAUAAGUUAUCUCUUAAAGUGUAUUGUGAUAUUGUUACUACUUCCAGAUAUGAUAGAACUUAUAAUACAAAUGAUAAACAGCAGUUUACUGUGUUAAAACUAUUAAGGAUGAAUGAACUAAAACUAUGCAAGCUUUCCAUAUAGAUAAUGUAUUUAAAAGAACUAUUCCAAAUAUGAUUUUAAAAAUAUUGCACUUACAAUUUGAACUUUGGUUGAUUUAAUGAUUGAAAGUAAAGCUUAUGUAGAAUAAUAAAAGAUGAAAAUAUAAAACAACACGUUUAAUGAUUUAUUGCGUCCGAAGCGCUUUUCUGGAUUUGACUGAAUCACUUGUGAUAAAUCGCCACUGUUCUGAUUAGAACUAUAUUUUGUUUUAUAUUUUUUACAUAAAAUUUAUUUGCUUUGAAAUUACCUGAUUUUAAAACUAUUGCUAAUAGAAGUACAGUUUUGACAAAUUAUUGUUACCAAGUAUAUGGGUUACCCAAAGCAUGCUUUGAUAGUAUUUUUGAUUCAACAAAUCUAAAUCCCUGAAUGUAAACCUAAAAGUUUAAAUGUAUAUAUAUGGCAUUACUAAUAGCACAAUAAAAUGCAUAUAUUAUUAAACAAUUUGAUUGGAAAUCGUACAUUAUAAAAUGAUUGCACUCAUUCUUGAAAUUUGCAUCCAUUAACCUAAACUUACAUCACUCACAUUCAUGUAUAUAAAUAAAGUAAAACCAAAAAUUAACAAAAUAAAAAAAAAUAUCUAACUACACUUUAGAUUAAUAGUAUUUUUUUAGGACAUACAAGUUGGCUUGUAUAAAAGGUCAAUUUGAAACAAUUGUUAGACAUGAUUGAUAAAAUAGUAGAAAUUUCCAACCAUUAGUUAGUAAGAAGCUUCAAACGGGAAAACAGGCAUUACGGAAUGAUAAUGCCUAUGAAUUUCGUUAUUAAUAAAUUUUGAAACGCUAUUGAACGACUAAUAUAGAGAAUAAUAAACUUUUUUAGUAUCAUUGAAGAAACUAUAUCAAUAAGGUAUCUAGAUUGCACCCGUCAAAUUCAGAAUUUGUUGAAAAUAAAAUUUGAAAAAUUUGAAAUGUGUUUUGAAAAUUGCAAUGUUGAAAAAAAAACAAUAAUACAGGUUUGAUGAUUAUGUAAUGACAACAUUUAAAUUCAUUAUGUUACAUAUGGAUUUAUGAUCCCACAACUGGCCUUUCUCAAAAUCCCAUUUGAGAUCAUUUAAAAUGCAAUUUUAACUAUAUUAUUUUGAAAAAAUCUAUUUUAAAUCUAUACAUAGUUUUUGGCCAUAAGUGCAAAAGAAGAAUU
rnacentral:lncRNA from 1 species